rnacentral:rRNA from 1 species
UACGUAGGGUGCGAGCGUUGUCCGGAAUUAUUGGGCGUAAAGAGCUUGUAGGUGGUUUGUCGCGUCUGCUGUGAAAAUCCGAGGCUCAACCUCGGACUUGCAGUGGGUACGGGCAGACUAGAGUGUGGUAGGGGAGACUGGAAUUCCUGGUGUAGCGGUGGAAUGCGCAGAUAUCAGGAGGAACAGCCGAUGGCGAAGGCAGGUCUCUGGGCCAAUUACUGACACUGGAGAAGCGGAAAGCAUGGGGAGCGAACAGG